rnacentral:rRNA from 1 species
UACGGAAGGCGCAGUGGGGAAUAUUGCACAAUGGGCGAAAGCCUGAUGCAGCUAUGCCGCGUGUAUGAAGAAGGCCUUAGGGUUGUAAAGUACUUUCAUCGGGGAGGAAAAAACAAAACUAAUAAUUUUAUUUCUUGACGUUACCCGAAAAAGAAGCACCGGCUAACUCCGUGCCAGCAGCCGCGGUAAUACGGAGGGUGCUAGCGUUAAUCAGAAUUACUGGGCGUAAAGAGCACGUAGGUGGUUUUUUUAAGUCAGAUGUGAAAUCCCUGGGCUUAACCUAGGAACUGCAUUUUGAAACUGAAAUACUAGAGUAUCGUAGAGGGAGGUAGAAUUCUAGGUGUAGCGGUGAAAUGCGUAGAUAUCUGGAGGAUACCUGUGGCGAAAGCGGCCUCCUAAACGAAUACUGACACUGAGGGUGCGAAAGCGUGGGGAGCAAACAGGGAUUAGAUACC